CUUCCCAUAAGCUAAAGAUGCAUCUUCUGCUAUUAGACUGCAAUAGCAAGCAUCCCUCUUUGGUCCACUCUGUUGGAUGGUUAUUGAAUAAAAUCUAUUGUAGCGAACAGAAUCUAAUCAGCCUUAUCUCAUUUUAAAGCACAAUAUCUCUUUUCUCGUUUUGAAGUGUUUCAAAUGGCUCUUCAAUAUUUAAAGUGAUGUCUAAUCAUCUGUGAAAUCAACCAUGGACUCUCGGGACCUCAUAAACAAAAGAAAAUGCUGGAACCAUUUCAUCAUCUCAAAGUCACCGGGAAUGGCAUGCAUAGAGGGACCUGCUCUGCUGGCACCUGCUCCUGGCUUC
rnacentral:lncRNA from 1 species